UACGUAUGGAGCAAGCGUUAUCCGGAUUUACUGGGUGUAAAGGGAGCGCAGGCGGCUUUGCAAGUCUGAUGUGAAAGGCCGGGGCUCAACCCCGGGACUGCAUUGGAAACUGUAAAGCUAGAGUGCCGAAGAGGUAAGCGGAAUUCCUAGUGUAGCGGUGAAAUGCGUAGAUAUUAGGAGGAACACCAGUGGCGAAGGCGGCUUACUGGACGGCAACUGACGCUGAGGCUCGAAAGCGUGGGGAGCAAACAGG
rnacentral:rRNA from 1 species